AUUGAACGCUGGCGGCAGGCCUAACACAUGCAAGUCGAACGAGUGGCGGACGGGUGAGUAAUGUCUGGGAAACUGCCCGAUGGAGGGGGAUAACUACUGGAAACGGUAGCUAAUACCGCAUACCAUCGGUUGGGCCCAGAUGGGAUUAGCUAUUAGGUGGGGUAACGGCUCACCUAGGCGAAGCUCCCUAGCUGGUCUGAGAGGAUGACCAGCAACACUGGAACUGAGAAACGGUCCAGACUCCUACGGGAGGCAGCAGUGGGGAAUAUUGCACAAUGGGCGCAAGCCUGAUGCAGCCAUGCCGCGUGUAUGAAGAAGGCCUUCAGGUUGUAAAGUACUUUCAGCGAGGAGGCGUUACUCGCAGAAGAAGCACCGGCAAACUCCGUGUCAGCAGCCGCGGUAAUUC
rnacentral:rRNA from 1 species